rnacentral:rRNA from 1 species
AUGGCUCAUCUCACCUUUGCUGGGUUUUGCCUGUUCAGUUGUGAAAUGAAUGCAGAUUCUUCUGAUGGGCAGGCCUUGAUCUGUGGGAAGGCGAAGGAGGCCAGCUCUGUAAUGCUUGCUCCAAGGUCGGUCAGUCAAGGUCUUGAAGAGUCUGACGUCGAAUGCACCGUGCCACGGCUAAAAUGGCGUCAUUGCGGUGCUCGGAAAUCUUUGUUCGAUUCAGGUCUCCUGCAAAUGUCAUCGGUGUUUGGUUCCAGAAGACCGAAGUUGCCGGCGACGAAUCCGUCGGGUCUGUUGCAUCUUACACCGGACUAUAUCACCGGUUUUUCUUGA